AUACGGAGGAUCCGAGCGUUAUCCGGAUUUAUUGGGUUUAAAGGGUGCGCAGGCGGGAGAUUAAGUCGGCGGGGAAAUUUUGCAGCUCAAAUGUAAAAGAGCCUUCGAAACUGGUUUCCUUGAGUGGAGAUGAAGUAGGCGGAAUUUGUGGUGUAGCGGUGAAAUGCAUAGAUAUCACGAGGAACUCCGAUUGCGCAGGCAGCUUACUAAACUACUACUGACGCUCAGGCACGAAGGCGUGGGGAUCAAACAGGAUUAGAUACCCUGGUAGUCCACGCAGUAAGCGAUGAUUACUAGCUGUUUGCGAUACAAUGUAAGCGGCUGAGCGAAAGCGUUAAGUAAUCCACCUGGGGAGUUCGUUCGCAAGAAUGAAACUCAAAGGAAUUGACGGGG
rnacentral:rRNA from 1 species